UACGGAGGGAGCUAGCGUUGUUCGGAAUUACUGGGCGUAAAGCGCACGUAGGCGGCUUUUUAAGUCAGGGGUGAAAUCCCGGGGCUCAACCCCGGAACUGCCCUUGAAACUGGAAAGCUAGAAUCUUGGAGAGGCGAGUGGAAUUCCGAGUGUAGAGGUGAAAUUCGUAGAUAUUCGGAAGAACACCAGUGGCGAAGGCGACUCGCUGGACAAGUAUUGACGCUGAGGUGGCGAAAGCGUGGGGAGCAAACAGG
rnacentral:rRNA from 1 species